rnacentral:tRNA from 1 species
AUUUAAAUAGUUUAAAAAAAAUACUAAUUUGUGGGAUUAGAGUUAUAUAAAUAUAUUUUAAAUA